rnacentral:rRNA from 1 species
GAUGAACGCUGGCGGCGUGCCUAAUACAUGCAAGUCGAGCGAACAGUCGAGGAGCUUUCUCCUCUGACUUUAGCAGCGGACGGGUGAUUAACACGUGGAUAACCUACCUAUAAGACUGGGAUAACUUCGGGAAACCGGAGCUACUACCGGAUAAUAUAUUGCACCGCAUGGGUCCCUAGUGAAAGACGGUUUUGCUUUCGCUAAAAGCUUACUACGCGCCGCAUUCGCUGGUUGGUAAGGUAACGGCUUAGCAAGGCAACGAGGGUUACCCGACCUGAGCGCGUGAUCGCACAGACUGGAACUGAGACAGGGCAGAGACUCCGGCGGGAGGCAGCAGUAGGGAAUCUUACGCGAUGGGGGAAUGCCUGACGGAGCAACGCCGCGGGAGUGAUGGAGCAGUUCGGAUGGGAAAACUAUGUUAUUAGGAAAGAACUAAUGUGCAAUUAACUAUGAACGUCUUGACGGUACCUGAACAGAAAGCCACGGCUAACUACGUG